rnacentral:rRNA from 1 species
GACGAACGCUGGCGGCGUGCCUAAUACAUGCAAGUCGAACGCAGUGGGGACGGUUGAGUAACACGUGGGUAACCUCCCAUCAGAGGGGAUAACACUUGGAAACAGGUGCUAAACCGAUACUGAUUUCUGUACCCGCUGUGCAUUAGCUAGUUGGUGAGGUAACGGCUCACCAAGGCCACGAUGCAUAGCCGGCCGGAGAGGGUGAUCGGCCACACGGGGACUGAGACACGGCCCAGACUCCUACGGGAGGCAGCAGUAGGGAAUCUUCGGCAAUGGACGAAAGUCUGACCGAGCAACGCCGCGGGAGUGAAGAAGGUUUUCGGAUCGUAAAACUCUGUUGUUAGAGAAGCGGUAUCUAACCAGAAAGCCACGGCUAACUACGUGCCAGCAGCCGCGGUAAUUC